GCCUUCGUGGUGUAAUGGUCAACACACUCAGGCGUAUUCAAGAGAUCCGAGGUUCGAUCCCGGCUAAGGCA
rnacentral:tRNA from 1 species